GUGCUCUCUUUGGCAACACACACUAAAAUCAGAAUGAUGCAGGGAAGAUUAGCAUGGCCCCUGAACAAGGAUGACAUGUAAAUUCGUAAAGAGUUCCAUAUUAAA
ensembl:snRNA U6 U6 spliceosomal RNA